AGCGGCGUGGGCCCGAAGUGAGUGGUAAAAUCCGCGUGUGUCGAUAUACUCGUAUAUAUAUUGUUUAUGCUGUAAGCGGAAGUGACAUCUUGACGCUAUUAGGAGGGUCCAACGUGGUAGUUUCAACAGCAUGAUAGAGCACGCCACAUUCCUGACAUCCUCGCCCUCUCCAUCCCGGACAGCCUCGACGCGCCCUGCACUGCCUCGUCCACCACGGGAUUUGUUAGCCUCCAGUCAGAUCGUGACCCACGUCUGCACCGUCGUUGAGGGCGGAGUCCCAUCUCCAGGGCUUGACGCGCUGAUCGGGCGGCAGGACUCCUGAGCGCUGUGCCUCGUAGAACAAGAAAGACAUGCACAGUGCCUGCAGGGACAUUAUGCAUGAGCAACUGUGAUUAGCAGGCAGGUCCACGGCAAUAACUUCUGGCUGAGUGUCGCCGGAGUGGAACACCUCAAAGCUAAAGUGCACGAAGACGCCAGUCUCCACGAAGAGGUACUCGUCAGUCAUCCUGACGUGCAUGUCGUCUAUCAUCUCGGA